CACGCCCUAAACUAUGUCAACUAGUUGUCGGAUCUUAACAGAUUUGGUAACGUAGCUAACGCGUGAAGUUGACCGCCUGGGAAGUACGGUCGCAAGAUUAAAACUCAAAGGAAUUGACGG
rnacentral:rRNA from 1 species